ACCCCUCCCGGCUCAGUGUGCAGGCUGCAGGGACAAACAGCCACCGUCUGCGGCCGGACACUGAGUCACUACACCACCAACAACAGCCUCGUCCAUGGGCUGUUGAAGCUGGUGGAAGGAUGAACCAGGAUGUGGUCACCGCAGCCGCCCCGCUGAAAAAAAUGCCGAAAGGCGCAUAGAGCGAGCUAAAGAGUAGCAUCGAAACCCGAGCCCGGUCUAACGCCAACUUUGUUUGACACAUCAUGUGUACAAAGAAAGUUUCUCCAGACCUGCCAGCAUCAGCGGGCACCAUUUCCAUCCAUUACAUAAGCGAAACGUGUCGCUGCGAGCAGUUCCCCUCCCGGACGUUUUCCUGGUCGCUACAGACAAACCCCGGCUGUCCCCGUAACCGCCAAGCGGCACUCACUGCACCGCUGCCCGGCGUGAGGCGUCAGGAGACUCCGCAGAGCAACCAUGUUUCUUGUGGACGGCCACGGUUGUCAAAACCCGCUAAAUUCGCUCUGUGGCGCCGCUAAACUCGGAUAAAAUACCCACGGAUGUGUUGAAGUGAAACACGAAGGGGCUUGAUAUGCGAGAAAGGAAGGCGGAGAUGGGAAAACGUCGGUGGGGAGAACCGCGGCUAGUCGGUGACUUGAAAGACACAAGCGGGCCUCCCGGCUGCUGCAGCCCCGGCAUUUUCUCCGCCGAAGAAAGCCUUUGUAUUGGGCCACAGCUCGCACUCCCAGCCUCGGCUCUCUCCCACGGGACGAGACGGUGCACGAGUCGAAAACUUACCCGGUCAGGGGACACAGAAGGGCCGCUAGAGAAGGAGCGUGGUCAUCGCCGCGACGGUUGAAGGGUUACUUUUCUGAUCCCAAAAAAACAACACUGCUCCUCAAAGAUUGAAUCCACGAUCCUCCCAGUUUCACAUCAUUUGGAUUCUAACAUGCUGUCAGCUACGUCGAGCAAAAAGACACCAAAGAGGAAAGAAAGGAGGUUCAGCACCAUGGACAGCAACCACUCACUCCAACCGGGAAGGGGAAAAGUAAGGGGACAUGCGCCUUGUGUCUCCUUCAGCUGGUCUUCCAAACAUAUGAAGGUCCUGAUAAUUUGCCCACAUUCUCUGUACACUCAGCGAUGUUGUUUGUCUUCAUUAUGGAACAAAGAAAGAUCCACGGCAGAUUAGCAGACUGAACAACCAUGCAGAAUUACUAUACCUAAAGGCUCUCUACAUGUUUAAUGUGAAGUAUAAAAGAAAGCCCACCUGUUUAUCCAAAUACAUAAAAGCAGACACUCUUUUAAUUGAGUGUUUUACUGUAAUGGUUCCAUCUGUGCUGAAAUGUAGAACUAGCCAUAAAUUCAACUUAAAUUAAAUAUACCGCAGUGUGGAAUACUGCAGCCCUUUCAUGUCUUGGCAGUCAGAUUAUUAAUGUCCUCUUCCAAAUAUUUAAGUUGACCAUGUUUUUGUUGGCUAAAACAAUGUUAAAGUUAAUAAAUAAAUGUGAAAUUACGGAGCCUAAAUUCAUGCAACUGCCCUUAGUACAGCUAGUGUCCAAAUCGAUACCUUAUACAUUGAUAAAAAGGAUCCAGUAGCGUCAGAAACACAUACAGAAAAACAUUAUGUUAUGUUAAAAUAUUAACUAUCAUAGAUUGGCUUUAUUUUAUAACUAAUCCAUACCUAUACUUACACACACUGAUGUUAUAAUUGAAUCCUGGAAAAAAGUUAAACUUCAUUAAAAUUGGCAUGUUCAUCACUUGGGGCUCAUGUAGGCUGGAAUUGAUUACAUGAAGUCCAUACUUUGGUGGAAUUGAAGAAGUAAGAGGAGACAAGUUAAUUCAGGAAACACAACAUGCUCUAAAAACUGAUAAAGAAAAAGAAAAACAAGCACCACUAUAGAGAGAAAAUAAUUUCCGUGCAAACGAAUCCAAGAAAACAAAUUGAAAAACAAACACAAGCCAUGAUUAAAUGACUUUGUAUUUAAUUAAAUUUUCCUCAUGUAACCAGUGGAAGAAAAUUAUAAUUAAAGGAAGAAUGGAUUGGAUCACAAAAGCCUGUGUUAAUUACGACUGUUAUAGGACAAAAUUGAAAAAGAAAAACUGGUAUCAACCUUAAGAAGCACGACGCUCAGUGUAAACACCCAGAUGUUUUUCUGUAGCCCUGUCAAACUCUAGUCUGCCUGCAGACAGCUCAUGGCUGACAGAAUCAAACGCCUGAGGCACAGCCACAAACAGGACAGAGCAGUGCUGCUGCUCAGAAGGAAGCGGUAUAUAUAGAGUGAUAUAGUACCAACACUUUAGUAGCUGUAAGGACUAAUGACACGUCUCAGUGACAUAUUUAAAAUACUGUGAAUUAAGGUUUUUCAUCAGGUUUUUACCUAAAAACACAAUAAAAAGCUAUUCAGACUUUGGUCUUAUCUUUAUCUACAACCUUUUUAGUAAGUGAGAUGUUCUGCAAAAUACCACUAGAUGGCAGUGUAGUCCUACAGGAAUCACACACAAUGAACUAUAGCAGUAAAGGGAAGUAAAGCAGGUGAAAACUGAACUGCAUGAGCAUACGUAAAAUAAAAUGCAUGAAAAUAAAUAGUCAUUAAACACAUUUAAAAUGUAAUAUACAUUUAAUUUAAUGUUGCUUAUAAAGUUGUAUAGUAACUAUUAUAUAAAAGCCAUGCUUUACGUCUCAAGGCUAAAGAAACAUGAAAAAUAAUUUUUGAGCUUCACACUUAUUAUUGUACUUUUAUGUAAAGACAAAAUCUUCUUGCAUCAAUCAUUUGUCAAUAUGGCAGAUUGACUCCCCUUCUGUUAUGUUUACAUAUAAUAUUCUGUAUAGACACAGUAACCUCAACUAUCUAUUUAGGUCCAAAAUAUAUGUCUAUUUAUGUAAAAGAAAAAACAGUACAUGCUCUUUGUGUUAUGCAGAGUUAAGGUCAGCACCAAGAUGCAAUAUCAGCAACUACAGUCUUUGUAAGAUUUUUCCUUCCUACAUGAAAACAAAUCCCAUCGUCAGUAUAUUUCUUGUAAAAUCUUCAAUCUGGCGUAGGGUUUCUCAUCGGAGACACAGUGUUGCUGCUACAGGGGGCAGCAGAGACCCAAUAUGUUGCUUCAGUUUUUCUCUUUUGCAGUAUUUAUUAUAUUCCGACAAGAGGAAGGUGGUGCAGCAACAGAUUUAAUUACAUCACAAAGUUCACAGUCAAUUUGUCUCCUCUCAAUCUGCAUCAUCUCCUCAGAGGAGCUUGACGACCUCAUGCGAUGGCUGACGUUUGUUAACCAAAAACGAAACUGAUCCGCAGCCCAAAAAUCCCACUGGUCAGGGACAUUAUUGUUCCUAUUGCGCCUGUCAAAAACUAAAAGUGCAUAUGUCUCGCAGGUGUACACAAACAACAAUAGUUGAGAGACAGGGUGAAAAGAAAGAAAGAAAUAAGUGUCCUCGAGCCCUGGAACAGACACUGCAGAGAGAGACCUUACAGUAAGAGCUGACAGAAGGAGGUUUUACAAUGAGAUGUAAAAAGGCUUGAGGAUGAUGUUCAGAGAGAAAGCCAAGACCCCUGCUGUGACCCUGCUCCCACUCAGCACACAUGUAUACACAUAUGCAGAUCCACCCACACAAAGCGCAGUGUGCCAGCGCUGAUCUGUUUUGACAAAAAAAAGGCAGCGUGUUUGAGCCAACCACAUUAAUCAGGAGUGAUCUUACGAUGUACCAACAAACAGCAGAACCAUCUAACUCAAUGAGGAUAAUAGCUUUAUUUACAUGGCAGCUUUUAAACCAGCCGCAACAAAGGGCUUCACAGAAAAGGACAAGUAAAGAAAACAAUUACUUUUUUCAGAAGGCACAAACCUGAAUUCCAUAUUAUGAUCAUGAUUUGUAUUAUUAUUAGCAGGCUGCAAUCUCCAUCUCCGUUGAGGACAUGCUACACAAAUUUAUCUAAAGAUGUAGUUAGCCAUAUUAAUUCAAUGCACUUGGGGCAGGAGUGAAGGGGCAGUGGGAGCGAGAUGGAGGUCUCUGAAAGGUCGUAAAACAGUAUAUGCUAACAGAACGCUUAUCCUCUUUCACGUACAACGCCAUGACUAUUUCAGAACCAUCUUACAGGACGUUACACCCACAAUCAUUUUCAUAGUAACGCCUUAAAUGCUAAAUGCUCAGGCACCAUAGACCACUGCUUACCCAGUGAUGAUGAGGAAAAGGCAAAGACUUGCAGGGAAGUUGGAAGAAAGUUACAAUGGAGAGGCCACCUGGAGUUGCCUCAGGACCACAGUGAGUUUUGAGAUCAGCAACGGCUCCUGUACUGCUCCAGGCGAUGUCUCCGGACUGCACUGGGGGUCAUGGCGACUACACACUGGUACACAAUGUUCUCCGGGUGGGCAGCAGACAGUCAUGGACACCGGUGAACGUGUGGUUUGUGUACAAGCAGAGGGUGUACUUUGUCCACAGUUAAUGCUAAUAUUUGUGGUGGCUAAUUCCAACUUUCUGAGGUCAGUCGUUCACCUUGGCAACGCGUGUGAAUGAAUGUGGGGGGGUGGAGCUUCUGAAGGACCAGUGGGUUUAUUUGUUUUCAAAUAUCAACAGUGAUUCCCCAGAAUGAGUUACCCUACCUUUAAGUGUAGAACCAAACAUUAUCCAAACAGGAACCAAGGUAACAUAAUGACUGUUCAGUAUCGUCUAAAGAAACAAAGCAUAACACAUAAUUAAAUCUGACUGUGUCUCCAGUUAACUGAGCAGGCAGAGGCAUGAAAA